GUGAUCAUAGAAAUGAGAGAUGGUUGGCAUCUUCCCUAACAAGGAUAGGUCAAAGUGGACAAUACCUCGGUGAGUUAAAUCCAAGGCGUUACAAUAAAUAUUUUGU